rnacentral:rRNA from 1 species
UACGAAGGGGGCUAGCGUUGCUCGGAAUUACUGGGCGUAAAGGGCGCGUAGGCGGACAGUUUAGUCAGAGGUGAAAGCCCGGGGCUCAACCCUGGAAUUGCCUUUGAUACUGACUGUCUUGAGUACGGGAGAGGUGUGUGGAACUCCGAGUGUAGAGGUGAAAUUCGUAGAUAUUCGGAAGAACACCAGUGGCGAAGGCGACACACUGGCCCGUUACUGACGCUGAGGCGCGAAAGCGUGGGGAGCAAACAGG